GGAAUAUUGCGCAAUGGACGAAAGUCUGACGCAGCCAUGCCGCGUGAAGGACGAAGGCCCUAUGGGUUGUAAACUUCUUUUGUACGGGAAAAAACGCUUCUACGUGUAGGAGCCUGAUGGUACCGUAAGAAUAAGCACCGGCUAACUCCGUGCCAGCAGCCGCGGUAAUACGGAGGGUGCAAGCGUUAUCCGGAUUUAUUGGGUUUAAAGGGUCCGCAGGCGGGCCGAUAAGUCAGUGGUGAAAGCCCAUAGCUCAACUAUGGAACUGCCAUUGAUACUGUCGGUCUUGAGUAUAAGUGAGGUUGGCGGAAUGUGUGGUGUAGCGGUGAAAUGCUUAGAUAUCACACAGAACACCGAUUGCGAAGGCAGCUGGCCAACUUAUAACUGACGCUGAGGGACGAAAGUGUGGGGAUCAAACAGGAUUAGAUACCCUGGUAGUCCACACCGUAAACGAUGAUCACUAGAUUUUGGCCGCAAGGUCAGAGUCCAAGCGAAAGUGUUUAGUGAUCCACCUGGGGAGUACGUCCGCAAGGAUGAAACUCAAAGGAAUUGACGG
rnacentral:rRNA from 1 species